UCCCCCUUCCAUUUUCGUUUUUUUUAUUUGUUUUGUUUGAUUUCUUCAUAACUUCAUCAAUUCUUAACCGAAUCGGACGAUUAUUGUGUUGAAAUUCGAUGGAAAUCACCAUCCGAACCCGUUCCACCGAUUAGUUUCCCUUGAAACCCUCUCUAUGGUGAGAAAAGAGCCAUAUACAGCCACGAAAUUCUUAGGAUUUUUGUGAUUUUGGGGUUGAUUUCUUGAGCCAUUGCUUGUGGAGUUCUAGGAGGAGUCUUGUGACGUAAUUGUGGGUUGCCGUACGUCGAUUUGAACACCGAACCGUGAGUCGGUGGAUUGCCCUUGGUCCUGGACCAAGUGGGAUUGAGGCGUUCUGUUGAGUAACAAACUUGGAACCUAAGCUGCUGUGGAGCUAAGUGGAGUAACAUAUUGAGGAUGUACCUGUAGCGUUGGAGCAGCGGGCAAGAGGCCCGCAGGGUGAUAGAGGAACAUUUUCAGUAUUUGGCAUAUUGUUCAUAUUGGCAUGCCUAGGCCUAGUAGUUUGUAUCAUUUAAAUUUAUGUCUAAAUUUGUAAUUGGUGUUGUAAUAUUGUAAAAGGCAAUUUGAAGUUAAAGUCGUAAGUUGUAAUAUUUAAGUGUAUGUUGUAAAUGUAAGAGAGGCAUGAUGUACCAAGAUGGAAGGAUUUUAGGCCUAUGUUAGAGUUAUGAUUACAUGCUUAUAUUGUGAAACUACAUGUGAAUGGGACCUAUGUGAUUGAAACAAGUAAGAAAUAUAA